rnacentral:lncRNA from 1 species
GAGUAGCUGGGACUACAGGCGCCCGCCAUGAUGCCCGGCUAAUUUUUUGUAUUUUUAGCAGAGACGGGGUUUCACCCUGUUAGCCAGGAUGGUCUCAUCUCCUGACCUCGUGAUCCGCCCGCCUAGGCCUCCCAAAGUGCUGGGAUUACAGGCGUGAGCCACCGCGCCCGGCCUAAUAAAGGACAAUUUUUAAUAGCCACUGGACUAUUUAAGUGAUCUCUUCUGUCAGUUUCUUUUACCAUCAGAGGACACAGCAGCAAGGUGCCAUCCUAGAAGCAGAGAGCAGACCCUUACCAGACAACCAACCAGCUGGUGCCAUGAUCUUGGACUUCUCGGCCUCCAGAACUGCACUUAAACACGCAGCAUGAGGAAAAUGGAACAACAAUCUUGAGGUGCCUUCUGAAUCAUCAGAUUAAAUUAUGCUUCGGUCUUGCACUGCUGCCUAGGCUAGAGUGCAGUGGUGCAAUCAGGGCUCACUGCAGCCUCACUCAACUUCCCAGUCUCAAGCCAUCCUCCUACCUCAGCCUCUGUUCCACUAAUCUACUUGUCAAUUUUUCCAGCAACACCACACCCUCCUGAUCACCAUAGCUUUAUGCAACAACAAGAAACAAAUUUAUUAGCUAACCUAACCACUAAUGACGCAAGAGACAAUUCUAAGGACUUUCAAAACAGCAAAGUAGGAGCAGCUGCUACCUCUAGGGAUGAGGGAGAAACUCAAAAAUGCAUACAAAAACCAUUGCAUGAAAAGUGACUGGAUUUGUACAUAGCGUCAGGAGAUGUGCGUAGUGUCAAAGUAUCUCAUCACACAUUACUUGAUAAUUACAAAUGAGAAAAAUGAACCUUCACAGUGGCAAGACUUGACUUCUACCUCUUUCAAAAAGAUGCAAUUGUCCAAUUAUUGGUGAAAUUGUCAUUUCAUGCUAUUGGCUAUUUGAAAUUCCUCCUCUAAUUUCAGAAUAAAUCACUGAAAUUGACAUCGGCCAGUCUGAAUUUCAAGAAAUUACCUGCUGAAGACAAGAGGGAUCUCUUCUUCAGAUUUGCAGUCUGGGGAAGACACAGCCUCUACUGUACUUUAGAACCUGAGAUAUGGUGGUGGAGGGAGCCCUGGGUCGAGUGGUAAGAUUCACCCUUAGGUCAGAGCUCCGGACUCCAGCCCCAUGCAACUUCAAAAUAUGACAAAUGUCUUGAAGGGGAGAUUGGCAUGCAGAUGAGGAAGGCCCUCUCGCCAACACAUUUGUAUUUCCUCUGUACUGUGAGACUGUGGGAGAUUUACUGCGACAUUUAGAAGCUUUCUUCCAAACUCCUGGGCCUCCGACACUGGUUCUAAACUCAGCAAAUGUUCUUUGGGAAAAACAGACAGUGCAUGUGAGGCCCCUCGAGUUUGGAAUUUAUGUCUCCAGCUUCACAUGGUCUCUCAAGUGCUUAUGCUUUUCUUCUCUCUGCCACCCACAUUCCCACAUCCCGCCCACCCCCCAACUUUCCUCCCUUCACCUUCCCAUGGAGACUUUUUGCCUGGGCUAAAUCUGAUCCUCAGCCCACUCUCAGAAUCGAUAAAUGCCCCUAGGUGAUUGUAAGCUCACCUAAGAUAUACUUUUUCUCCUCUAGAAUUUUAGUUUAUUAGAUUUUUCUAGUUGUCUUUGCAAAAGCGUUAACAGGCUCUGACUUCUGACAUUCAACUAGAUGUGGAAUAUCCAACCCCUAGCAUUUCAUGGAAUGUACUGACCAAGAUAAAAUGUGUUCUUAUUAAACAAUGCCAUUUCUUGACC